ACGGAGAAAGCUUUAUGCACCAUUGGAUGAGCCUGCACUUGAUUAGUUUGUUGGUGGGGUAAUGGCCUACCAAGACUUUGAUCAAUAGCUGAUUUGAGAGGAUGAUCAGCCACAUUGGGACUGAGACACGGCCCAAACUCCUACGGGAGGCAGCAGUGGGGAAUCUUGCACAAUGGAGGAAACUCUGAUGCAGCGAUGCCGCGUGAGUGAAGAAGGCCCUUGGGUUGUAAAGCUCUUUCGUCGGGGAAGAAAAUGACUGUACCCGAAUAAGAAGGUCCGGCUAACUUCGUGCCAGCAGCCGCGGUAAUACGAAGGGACCUAGCGUAGUUCGGAAUUACUGGGCUUAAAGAGUUCGUAGGUGGUUGAAAAAGUUGGUGGUGAAAUCCCAGAGCUUAACUCUGGAACUGCCAUCAAAACUUUUCAGCUAGAGUUUGAUAGAGGAAAGCAGAAUUUCUAGUGUAGAGGUGAAAUUCGUAGAUAUUAGAAAGAAUACCAAUUGCGAAGGCAGCUUUCUGGAUCAUUACUGACACUGAGGAACGAAAGCAUGGGUAGCGAAGAGGAUUAGAUACCCUCGUAGUCCAUGCCGUAAACGAUGUGUGUUAGACGUUGGAAAUUUAUUUUCAGUGUCGCAGCAAAAGCGAUAAACACACCGCCUGGGGAGUACGACCGCAAG
rnacentral:rRNA from 1 species